rnacentral:rRNA from 1 species
UACGUAGGGGGCAAGCGUUGUCCGGAUUUAUUGGGCGUAAAGCGCUCGCAGGUGGUUCGUCGCGUCGUGCGUGAAAGACCCCGGCUCAACUGGGGGGUGUCGUGCGAUACGGGCGGACUGGAGGCCAGUAGGGGGAUGCGGAAUUCCGGGUGUAGAGGUGAAAUUCGUAGAUAUUCGCAAGAACACCAGUGGCGAAGGCGGCUCACUGGCCCGGUACUGACGCUGAGGUGCGAAAGCGUGGGGAGCAAACAGG